UCAGGUCUUCAGCAGAAACAGGAUGGUUCUCCCAGUGGUUGAUCUCCACUGUGAGGAACUGGCCUGCCGCUUUGCUGGGGAGUGAGCU
rnacentral:pre_miRNA from 13 species